AUACCUUUCUCGGCCUUUUGGCUAAGAUCAAGUGUAGCAUAUGUUCUUAUCAGUUUAAUACCCGUAGGCCAUAUGCCCACACGGUAUAAUUCAUUUUUUGUAAGGGGCAGAGUCUGUUAAGGUAGCUUUUUAAAUUCAGGAAUCAGAAAAAUAUGAAGUCUAGCAUUAAAUUUAUAAAUGAAUCAGU